CCCUGAUAUUUCUAUUAUUGAAUAAAUUCUCAUGCUAUGUAUACGUUAUUCUACAGGCAACAUUUUGGAUGUAGUACAACCUGAUAGCAUUGUCACUUCUUCGGAAGACAGCUCUACUGUUUCAGUGAAAAGUACUUUUUCCAACUCGGCGUCUUCUCUUCCAUUCUCUUGGACACUCGUGGCUGUGAACUUAGGGGUUUUGCUUACUUUAGGUCUGCUGGCAAUCCGCUGUCACUAGUCCGUCUCCAGGUUCCAGAAGAAGAAGACAACGAACUACGUACAAGAAGGCUCAGAUGAUUGUGUUUGCUAAGGACUCAGUGUUCAAAAAAUUUCUUUGGAAAGCUCUUCUCGAUGACACACUAAAAUGUACUUUGUUGACAAAAUAUCAUGUUUAUAAGCAACAGCUGUCACUGUUUUUGAAACCCUUUAUUUGAUCGUGUAGCGGUAGCUCUCACAAUAUUCAAUGUGCCAAAGUUAUCAUAUAAGACGCACCGUUACUACGCUUCCUAGCGUUGCUCAAAAGGACUCUCCAGCAGUUUUGCUAAAGUCAUCUGAGACUAGAACUUUCAUUUUCUGAUAUUUGAUUUUGUAGAUUCUUUCUCUUUCCGAUAAUUGGCGAUUUUUGAUAAAGUUGCGAACACUGAAAAUGGUGGCUUAAAAUACAAACCAAAUCUCUGAUAGAAUAAAGAUUUAACUAAGGAGAAGAAACUACUUAUCGACAUUACCACAAGCGACAUGACAGGGAACAGGCUACCUUGGUCAUAUAUUCGAUAGAUACCUUAUUAUAAUAGAGAUAACUGUGCAGUACUGUUUAAUUCAUGAUUUAAUCUACUGUAAACUUCUAAAAUUGUUAGUUUACAAUAUUUCUCAUGUUGUUUUCAUAUAUAUACUACAUCAAUUGCCUUCAAAAGUUUACUAUUGCGGCCAAAAAAAUAUACUUCCUACCCUAAAAACACAGUUCUUGUAAACUGUCCUAAUAGUAAAAAUAUCCUACUUCCUAACCUUAAAACACAGUUCUUGUAAACUGUCCUAAUAGUAAAAAUAUCCUACUUCCUAACCUUAAAACACAGUUCUUGUGAAUUAUCCUAGUAGUAAAAAUAUCCUACUUCCUAACCUUAAAACACAGUUCCUGUAAAUUAUCCUAGUAGUAAAAAUAUCAUACUUCCUAACCUUAAAACACAGUUCUUGUAAAUUAUCCUAGUAGUAAAAACAUCAUACUUCCUAACCUUAAAACACAGUUCUUGUGAAUUAUCCUAGUACUAACUAUAUCAUACCACUUACCCUUAAAACGCAGUUCUUGUGAAUUAUCCUAUUAAUAAAGCUAUGAAAUAACAUGUAUUUAACCAUAAAAAUCCUGCUCUAUAAUUCUGUGAAGUAAUAGCUUAAGAGCCCUUUACUUUAGUAAUACUUAUUAGCUGAAUUCUAAUAAGACUCCUAUAGUUAAGCUCCACAGAACACCUUAUUACAUAAUAUUAUUUGCUCCAGUGAAUGUAGUUAAUCACUUUCUUAUCCACUAAAUAUGAAAACAUUUAAUGUUAUAAACCUCUUAAAUACCUCAUUAAAAAUUACGUAGAGCUAGAAUUGAAAGUUCCUGUGUAUUUAACCAUAAGAAAAUCUAUUAUUUUAAUCUCUCAAAAACCCCUAACGUUAAUAUUAAGAAGACCCCUUAUUUCAAUCUUGAUAACUACUCUGACAGUAACCUUGAUAAAGUCUCAGAUGCUACCCUUUUUUCAUGUGGCUACUCUAAUCACAAUAAACCUCCUGGAAUAAAGUGGGGGUUUUUAAAUCUGUAAGCAUGUACCCAAAAACUGACAAGAUGUUAUUCUGUGCCUUGUAACUACCAUUACAAGGCAUUGUAAAAAAUAGUAAUAUUACAUGAAUAUCGUUAUGAUAAUUAAGAUGCUCGGUAAUAAUAAGAUAUAAAUCAGGUUAAUAGCUUAACCGAAAACCAGCAAAAAUACAAUAAAUAUUUUAAUGAGAAGAAAAUAAGGGAAACACAUGAAAGAAAAUGUAGCCGACUCAUAAAACUUUGAGUCAGCUGUCGAACCUGAGAUUUGAUAUAUUGCCAAGAAUAUUUAUCUCAUUUCAACACCAAUACCUUAAACUAUUAUUUACGAAAUUACGAAUAACGAUAUUUAACGACUAGUAAUGUUCACUACAUAAGAGUAAUUUCUUACUAUGUUGUACAUUUAGUAAGUGAUUUAGUACUACAUCCAAAUCUGCUAAUCAGACUACUAGUAUCUCAGUACAAACCAAAGUCAUAGCCAACAAUUUGGGAUUUACCUUGGCAGCGGACCAGUAUAUUCCACAAUGUAAGCUAAACACAGACUAGACUACAGAUGAAAAACUUACCAGAACAGGAGCGCAACACAUGCUAGAACAUGGGUUAAACACAUGCUAGACUACAGAUAAAACACAUUCCAGAACACGAGUUAAACACAGACUAGACUACAGAUAAAAGACCUGCCAAAACAGGAGCUAAAUACAUGCUAGACUACAGAUAAAACACACUCCAGAACGUGGGUUAAAUACAUGCUAGACUACAGAUAAAACACAUUCCAGAACAUGAGCUAAACCGUGCUAGACUACAGAUAAAACACACUCCAGAACAUGGGUUAAAUACAUGCUAGACUACAGAUAAAACACAUUCCAGAACAUGAGCUAAACCGUGCUAGACUACAGAUAAAAAACCUGCCAAAACAGGAGCUCAACACAUGCUAGACUACACAUAAAACACAUUCCAGAACAUGGGUUAAACACAUGCUUGACUACAGAUAAAACACAUUCCAGAAAACGAGCUAAACCGUGCUAGACUACAGAUAAAUCACAUGCUAGAACAUGGGUUAAACACAUGCUAGACUACAAGUAAAACACAUUUCAUAAUACGAGUUAAACCGUGCUAGACUACAGAUAAAUCACAUGCUAGAACAUGGGUUAAACACAUGCUAGACUACAAGUAAAACACAUUCCAUAACACGAGUUAAACCGUGCUAGACUACAGAUAAAUCACAUGCUAGAACAUGGGUUAAAUACAUGUUAGACUACAUAUAAAACACAUUCCAAAACAUGAGCUAAUCACAUGCCAAACUACAGAUAAAAAAUCCACAACUCGAGAAAACGUAUUAUAUAAAUUACAUAGUCUAAACAUGUGUUAUACCUAAUACGGUGGUAUAAGUACAAUAUUAUCUCCAAAUAUUCGAUGUAACAUGUUUGAUAACUUUCCCAAUAAUUCAAAUGUAAAUGAAAACCACUCUCUGAAUAACAUGGAUGUUACAUUUAUUAUCUAUAGAAUUAACAGCAAUUCAUUACCAAGUGUGGCUGAAGAAGUCUCAUUCUAACAUAGGCUCUAACUGGUGAACAUUUAAGUAAGUCUUUAACAGUGUACAUAAUACACUGUCAUUAUCGUUUUACAGGUAUUGUUGUGUUAACAAAUGAAAAGAUACCAUAUACGUAUUGGAAAAUUAUAUUAGAUCACCAGGGGAUAAGUUCCUACCUAUACUGAAUGAUAUAACUUGUAUAAUUUCUAUUUUAUUAAAUUGAAAAACUGUCCUGUAAGGGAAUUUGGUUUCAACAUUGAAAUACUAUUUUCGAUACAAAAAAAAUAUAUAAAAUAAACAACAACAGAAAACAAAAUCAUUAUCCAUUAAAAAUUCGGUUAAAAUAUUGUGGUGUCGAACUAAUAUGUUUUAUAAUUCUGUUGAAUUUCUUAUUUGUUUCUUAAUAACACCAGACAUACUGUACUAAAACUAAGUCUCAACGAACAGGUAUGGUAACUUAACUACCCUUAACCUUAUAUGUUGCUGUUGUAAAGUUUACCGUUUUACUGCGAUAAACACUUUUGUCUAAAGUGAUUUCAAAUUCUUCUGUUGGGCUCCUUUUCACCGCUCAUAAGAAAUACUUACAAGAAUAUAUAGAAAAUGCAUAGCUGGCAAUAUCACGGCCACUCUCGGGUUUUCAUGCUUCUUCGCAAACGACAACAGACUUUCAAGGAUCAGUACAACCUUUAUUACUCCAUUCAAAUUAUGUAAAUACUAAGUUUUUCAUUCCCUUAGGCUAAAGACGCGUUUACUAUUAAUAGCUAAUGUAAAAAAAAUACGUCCUCGUAUGAGUUAUCUCCAACGAUGUGUUGAUGCGAUAAGUUUUAUAAAAGAAUCACAAGUAUUGGGGUUAAGUAUUAGAGUGAAGGAAUAUGAUAACAAGUUAUAAACAGAAGACAGAAAUGAAAUAGAGAACAUGUGUCAUGAUGCUUAUUGGAUAUUAUGGAAAUAAUUCAUGUUUAAACCGUUUUUCUUGUGCAUGUAAACUGUCGAGAUUGUAUUUAAUCGAAACUACGAAUAAAUAUUCUUCAUUCAAGGCAUG
rnacentral:lncRNA from 1 species